rnacentral:rRNA from 1 species
GCGGUAGAUACGGCGAGUGAGCGGCAAAAGCUCAAAUUUGAAAUCUGGUACCUUCGGUGCCCGAGUUGUAAUUUGGAGAGGGCAACUUUGGGGCCGUUCCUUGUCUAUGUUCCUUGGAACAGGACGUCAUAGAGGGUGAGAAUCCCGUGUGGCGAGGAGUGCGGUUCUUUGUAAAGUGCCUUCGAAGAGUCGAGUUGUUUGGGAAUGCAGCUCUAAGUGGGUGGUAAAUUCCAUCUAAAGCUAAAUAUUGGCGAGAGACCGAUAGCGAACAAGUACAGUGAUGGAAAGAUGAAAAGAACUUUGAAAAGAGAGUGAAAAAGUACGUGAAAUUGUUGAAAGGGAAGGGCAUUUGAUCAGACAUGGUGUUUUGUGCCCUCUGCUCCUUGUGGGUAGGGGAAUCUCGCAUUUCACUGGGCCAGCAUCAGUUUUGGUGGCAGGAUAAAUCCAUAGGAAUGUAGCUUGCCUCGGUAAGUAUUAUAGCCUGUGGGAAUACUGCCAGCUGGGACUGAGGACUGCGACGUAAGUCAAGGAUGCUGGCAUAAUGGUUAUAUGCCGCCCGUCUUGAACAACGGGACCAAAA